UUCAUUGUCUCCUGAUUGAGGACUUCAGAAAGUUUGGUAGUCACCGAAAACAGAGGCCAUAGUUUGCAUGGCCACUUCGAAUGAAGACAGGGGCAUCUUGAGUUGGCUGCUGAUCCAGAAAGACAACACCCGCUUCCCUGGGACCUCACAGCUUCAUAAUCCGUGGCAUAGGAGGCAUAGCAAGGGGAGACAUUGACUCACGAGACAGAUCCUUCAAAGAGAUGUCAGCACUAUUACUCAU